AGGUACACAAAAUACAAUUGUCUUCCACUGGGUUUUCCCUCAUUCCUUAACUAGUUUUGGACCAGAAAGUGUCCCACGUUUUCCUUCUCACAGGAAAAGCUGAAUUCUGGAACAAGAGUUUCAAACCAUGGGGACAAUACAGAAAAUAAAACAUUGAUCUGUGGCUUAUGUUUAAUGAAUUCAUGAAGACAUGAAUGUAACAAAACUGUGUAAAUGCACUAUAGCUUGAAAUGAAUGUAAAUACAUGCCAUUUUACUCCUGCAUGUAGUGAAAGAUGCAGGGCAGCUACAGGGGAGGGUUAACAAGCACGAAGGACUUAGACUCUGCUCGGGAUGGUAAAAACGUAAACCCCAGUAGUGUACUUGAGCUUAACAACAAGUCUUCUGUCAUUUACAGCAUUGCUUGCUUGAAUCUGUUAGUUGUAAACAAUGAAAUUGAAAGCAAUGCAGCAUCUCUAGAAAUAAUAAUAAACCUUAAGGUUGGCGAACAG